rnacentral:rRNA from 1 species
UACAGGGGGGGCAAGCGUUGUUCGGAAUUACUGGGCGUAAAGGGUUCGUAGGUGGCCAACUAAGUCAGACGUGAAAUCCCUCAGCUUAACUGGGGAACUGCGUCUGAUACUGGAUGGCUUGAGUGCAGGAGAGGAAUGCGGAAUUCCAGGUGUAGCGGUGAAAUGCGUAGAUAUCAGGAGGAACACCGGUGGCGAAGGCGGGUCUCUGGGCCGUUACUGACGCUGAGGAGCGAAAGCGUGGGGAGCGAACAGG